GAUCAUGGCUCAGGAUGAACGCUAGCUACAGGCUUAACACAUGCAAGUCGAGGGGAAACGACAUCGAAGGCUUGCUUUGAUGGGCGUCGACCGGCGCACGGGUGAGUAACGCGUAUCCAACCUGCCCACCACUUGGGAUAACCUUGCGAAAGUAAGACUAAUACCCAAUGACGUCUCUAGAAGACAUCUGAAAGAGAUUAAAGAUUUAUCGGUGAUGGAUGGGGAUGCGUCUGAUUAGCUUGUUGGCGGGGUAACGGCCCACCAAGGCGACGAUCAGUAGGGGUUCUGAGAGGAAGGUCCCCCACAUUGGAACUGAGACACGGUCCAAACUCCUACGGGAGGCAGCAGUGAGGAAUAUUGGUCAAUGGGCGAGAGCCUGAACCAGCCAAGUAGCGUGCAGGAUGACGGCCCUAUGGGUUGUAAACUGCUUUUAUAAGGGAAUAAAGUGAGCCUCGUGAGGCUUUUUGCAUGUACCUUAUGAAUAAGGACCGGCUAAUUCCGUG
rnacentral:rRNA from 1 species